UUAUGUCAUUGCCUGCUGA
rnacentral:misc_RNA from 1 species